GAUUUAUUGGGCGUAAAGCGAGCGCAGGCGGAAGAAUAAGUCUGAUGUGAAAGCCCUCGGCUUAACCGAGGAACUGCAUCGGAAACUGUUUUUCUUGAGUGCAGAAGAGGAGAGUGGAAUUCCAUGUGUAGCGGUGGAAUGCGUAGAUAUAUGGAAGAACACCAGUGGCGAAGGCGACUCUCUGGUCUGCAACUGACGCUGAGGCUCGAAAGCAUGGGUAGCGAACAGGAUUAGAUACCCUGGUAGUCAAGGGCG
rnacentral:rRNA from 1 species